AAUUACAUGGAGGCAUGUAGGCAGUGGCCUCCUAUUGCAGGCUGACAAAAAUUAAGAAAAUGAAGGAAAAAAAAUGGUUUACAUCAUGAUUUAUUUUAAAAGUACUGGUUGUUAUAGUUUAACCAACAAGGUGAUUAAUCAUGAUGGCAGGGUGUGUUCGAUAUUUAGAACUGGUAAAUAUCGCUAAACGGUACUCAACUCCUCUGCACACGUAGUUCUACCCAAAUAUAAAACAAAUACUAUUGCUUAUGUUAGCCUUGUCAGUUGUGUCUUGCAGUUAUAAGAAAUCGUUUUCAGCGCUACGGCGCCUUUAAACAUGGAAUAGG
rnacentral:lncRNA from 1 species